AACGCGAAGAACCUUACCAGGGUUUGACAUCCUGCGAAUUUCUCCGAAAGGAGAGAGUGCUUUAUUGAACGCAGUGACAGGUGUUGCAUGGCCGUCGUCAGCUCGUGUCGUGAGAUGUUUGGUUAAGUCCAUCAACGAGCGCAACCCUUAUAUUUAGUUGAAUUUUUCUAAAUAGACUGCCCCGGUAACGGGGAGGAAGGAGGGGAUGAUGUCAGGUCAGUAUUACCCUUACAUCCUGGGCUAGAAACACGCUACAAUGGCCGGUACAAAGGGCUGCCAAGUCGCGAGACGGAGCAAAUCCCAUCAAAGCCAGUCCCAGUUCGGAUAGUAGGCUGAAACUCGCCUGCUUGAAGUCGGAAUCGCUAGUAACGGUAGGUCAGCACACUACCGUGAAUACGUUCCCGGGCCUUGUACACACCGUAGUAC
rnacentral:rRNA from 1 species